AUGUGCCCGCAGCUGCCGGGUUCGCCUCCGAAGGGGGCACAGGCGACACCUUGCAGGGGCCGUAGCGCCCGCUGUCCGCAGCCUGCUGGCCUGCCUUCUCUCAGGAGCUUCCCCCUCCUCCCUACAGGAGAGAUGGCUCCACUCUUUCAGCUUGGUGUGAUAACCACAACUAUAAGCAUUCCAAGCGAAAGCAGAAUGGCAGCUGUAGAAAAUAAAGGCAGGAAAAUGAUCCAAGGCAGAAAACAUUUUGGACUUUUUUAACCCUAAUGCUCAAGGCAAGCUCAUAGCUUACUAGCUCUCUGGAUUUGUCAGAAUGAUUUAACUGGGAUUUUAAAAAAUUUUCUGGUGAGAAACAUCACUAAUUCCUACAUUAUUCAUUGUGGUAUGUUUUUAUAUGUAACAGAAGAUCUAAGACAGCAAGAGAGAGAAUUUGAUAGCCAUGAAGAUACUAAAAAUAAAGCCGUUUCUGUUGAAAUAUACA
rnacentral:lncRNA from 1 species